AAGCCGUCAGAGGACGCCAUGUUUAUAGUGUAGGUGGUGUAGUACGAGGAUACGUGUUAUUCAUUAUUUUCGACUAAAAAAAAAAAAUAUAAGAAACCGUUACGUUAUUUAUUUACCUCUUUAAAGAUAAUAGAAGAAGUCUCGGGUGCUUACAGGGUGGCUUGAAGUGAACAGUGCGAUAUCUCCAAAAAAAAAUUCGAAUAUUUUCUUUUAUUCGCGCAUUCGAAUGCAUGUCCGACGCGAACGAUCUACAAACUGCGGACAUCGUUCUUUAUGAAUUCUUGUUGCUUCCUUCUAAUUUGUUUACAACUUCUUCACAUUGCUUCGCGAUUAAGCAACGCCCCAAGAACCUGCGUUUCACGCUAGGAGUACAAUUCCCUUUUCAGGAAUCAGCUGAAAUCAUUUAUAGGGGCCCUAUGUUUCCUUAAUGCAGGCAUUUCGGGUUUUUAUAACCUGACAACGCGAUCAAAACGUUCGCUUUUUAUCUUCAACAUGUCUCUGUAUCUUUGACAGAACAAUAAGCGCAAAUUACAAAUAAUAAAUUCAAAAUGUGGCCAACCCAACCGGUUCAAUCCAAUACCAAUAAUACGUCCAAUGAAAAGAACCUUCGUACAUUGGGGAUGACAUCGGCUAUUAGCGUAGCUGAACCAAAACCUAGUGAUCUUACUAGAACAAAUGAAUUGAAAGAAGCGUUAAAACCAUACAAUGUAUUUGAAUCGGAGGAAGAGUUAAAUCAUAGAAUGGAAAUAUUAAGCAAAUUAAAUGCUUUGGUGAAGCAAUGGAUUCGAGACACAAGUAUUGCUAGAAAUAUGCCACCUAAUGUCGCAGAUCAAGUUGGUGGUAAAAUAUACACCUUUGGUUCAUAUAGGUUAGGUGUUCAUCACAAAGGUGCUGAUAUCGAUGCCUUAUGCGUUGUCCCAAGGCAUAUAUAUAGAUCCGAUUAUUUUACAUCCUUUUUUGAACUGUUAAAAAUGCAAGAAGAGGUCACAGAUUUAAGAGCUGUUGAAGAAGCAUUUGUACCCGUCAUAAAAAUGAAUUUUGAUGGUAUUGAAAUUGACAUGUUAUUUGCAAAGUUAACGUUAAAAGAAAUCCCAGACACUAUGGAUCUCAGGGACGAUAUGCUAUUAAAAAACCUUGAUCAAAAAUGUGUGAGAAGUUUAAAUGGAUGUAGAGUGACAGAUGAAAUUUUACGUUUAGUACCUAAUAUAGAAAAUUUCAGAUUGGCACUUAGAGCUAUAAAAUUAUGGGCUAAAAGACACGGAAUAUAUAGCAAUGUAUUAGGAUAUCUUGGUGGUGUGUCUUGGGCAAUGCUAGUUGCUCGCACGUGUCAACUUUAUCCUAAUGCUGUAGCCGCAACUUUAAUAGAAAAAUUUUUCCUCGUAUUUUCUCAGUGGAAAUGGCCACAACCUGUCCUCUUAAAACAACCCGAUACUGUCAAUCUAGGUUUUCCUGUAUGGGAUCCACGAGUAAAUGUAUCCGACAGAUAUCAUUUGAUGCCGAUAAUUACUCCGGCAUAUCCACAACAAAAUUCCACAUUUAACGUCUCCGUAUCAACCAGAACAAUCAUGCAAGAAGCCUUUGAAGCUGGUUUAUCAAUAACGGAAGAAAUUAUUAUGGGAAAAGCGACCUGGGACAAAUUAUUCGAACCACCAAACUUCUUCUACAAAUACAAACAUUAUAUCGUAUUGUUAGCAAGAAGUUUAACACCAGAAGAUCAACUCGAAUGGUGUGGACUGGUUGAGUCGAAAAUACGUCAUCUGAUAGGUACGCUGGAAAGAAAUCCUCACAUUACUCUGGCACAUGUUAACCCGGAAGCUUUCCCACCAUUGGAACCAGAGCCAGAUAGACAAUGCUCGAUGUGGUUCAUCGGUUUGCUCUUUGCGAAGAGCGAAAAUUUAAAUGUUGAUCUGACAUAUGACAUAAAGUCAUUCGUAGACGCAAUCGAAAGGCAAGCCGAGCUAAUAAAAAUGCUCAAGGAUGGCAUGUGGAUAGAAGCGAAGCAUGUCAAAAGGAGAGACUUAAACACAUACGUUUCUCCGUCGUUAUUAAAGAGAGAGAGAAAGGUAUCCGGCGGUGUUCAUCGAAAUGGAAACAUAGCGGGCAAUGGAAACAAUGGUGGCGUUUCCCCAAGAAAUCAAGGAGACGUUACCAGUAGAAAGAGACCAUCGGAUCAAAGUCUCGAAACGUUUUCAAAAAAACGAAAAGUUAAUGAAAACGAUCAACAAGUAACUCAGGGGGAAGACGGGUCGUUAGUGGUUCAAGCAUGCGGAGACGAUAGCAACUCUGGGUUUAGCCUGGAAGAAUACAAACAGACUCUAACAACUGCUAAGGACGAAGGGCCUACAAACGCGUCUACAGUAGCGCAAGAAGGAUAUGUAUGUACUUGACCACUAAAAAGUUACUACCUCACACCGAUCCACAGAUGUUCUUCUGGGCCAUCUAGACUUGUACAAAACAUACAAAACAUACAAAAAUUAAAUGAAUUUCUUGCGAGACAUAUUAUCACAUACGUAGCAGCCGACACACAGCACGAUCUCGUGUCUCGCCUAGAUUGCAUCGGACAUUGUCCUUGUAUUUAUAAAUUUAACUAUUAUACACAUGAGUACAGUCAUACAUACACACAUACAGAUAAAUAGAUCGAUUCGUGCAUACACAUAUGAUAUUACAGUACAUAACACGAACACAUACGAUUAAACUUGAUAUGUUACUACAUAAAAAGAUUAUAUAUAUAUAUAUAUAUAUAUAUAUAUAUACACAUACAUAUAUGUAUAUAUAUAUGUAUGUAUAUAUAUAUAUAUACAUGCACAUGGAAAGACACAUACAAACAAAUAAAUAAUGCAUAUACGUAAAAUACAUCGUGAACGAUACGCAGAAGACACACAGAAACACACAAAGUUCGCGAUGAAUAAAAAUACGAUUUUACAUGAGAGAGAAAAAGAGAGAAAGAGUGAAUAAAGUACGAGUGAAAUUCUUACGAAUGCGUGUAUCUAGAUUUGUUUGUGCGUAUCUCACACAUUAUGCACAAACACUCACGAAACUACGAAUGAAUAAAAUGAUGAGAACAAAGUAACUUAAUCGAUUCGAUAUCGUCGUGUUAAACAUUUGUAAAUGAUUUGUAUCGCGUACGAUGCGCUAGAUAAAUCCUUUGCACGAUUUCUUUUCUACGAAAGAUUUAUACGAUAUUAUUGUGAUACAUAUUUAGCAUGCGAAAGACGGCGAAAUGACAAGUGAGAAAGAUAAAGCGUAUGUCGUGUGCGUGUGCGUGUGCAUGUUGUGAGAGUGUGAGAGAGAGAGAGAGAGAGAGAGAGAGAGAAAUGAAAAUGAAAAAAAAAAAACUGACAUAAAAAAUGAACAAGCAAACAUGUAACAUUAAUUAGCGUCGUCAAAAAUGUUCAAACGAAUAAGUGUUUUAAAUGUAACGACAAUGCCACACGGCUCGAUCGAUUUAUCGAGCACAUCGUACGUACGAGAGAAGUUAUUAAUUAUUAUUAAUUAUUAUUACUAUUAAUUAUUAUUAUUAUUAUUAUUAUUAUUAUUAUUAUUAUAUCUAUUAUUAUUAUUAUUAUUAUAUUUUAUUAUUAUUUCUAUUAAUAUUAAUAUUAUUAUAUUAUUAUUAUCAUUUAUAACGAAUCGAAGUUCACCAAGUAGAAAUAACGUCGGCAAGAUCCAACGUGCUUCGAACUAUUGCAAUAGAGACGGAACGAAUUAUUUAUCGAGAAGCACAAAAGAAUUCAUCUUUUUUAGCUCGCUAAACUGUACACUGUAUGUAUACACUUCUGAAAUAAACAAAAAUAAAUUUUCUCUUAGUUCCUUCAGCCAAAAAAAAAGAAAAAAAAGAAAACGA